GCCUUAAGGAUGGGGAUAACAGACGGAAACGACUGCUAAUACCGAAUACGUUCUAAGCAUCGCAUGGUGCAUAGAAGAAAGGGUGGCCUCUACAAGAAAGCUAUCGCCUUAAGAGGGGUUUGCGACUGAUUAGGUAGUUGGUGAGGUAACGGCUCACCAAGCCGACGAUCAGUAGCCGGUCUGAGAGGAUGAACGGCCACACUGGAACUGAGACACGGUCCAG
rnacentral:rRNA from 1 species